AAAUGGCAACCCCCUACAAAAUUAUGAUGAGGAGAUUGCCAAAUGUUGUCCCCAUUGUGCCUAUAAAGAUUGGAACCAACGGAAUGUUGAGCAAAAAGCUACAGCCUGUGAUGUUACAGUCAUUUAACAUUGAAGUCAAUGGGCAAAUAAUUGCUAGUCUGAGUCCUGAUGAAAUAAUGAAGCAUGGCCGACUCGGGAUGUUGAUAUUUUUUCAACGGCUUGUUUCCUGAAGUUUUGAAUGGAAAGUGUCAGAAAUGGUGCCCAGGUAAUGUUUCAUAGAGUGGAAUGAUUGACCUCAACACAAGUAUUAAAAAAAAAAGAAGCAAAACAGGUCUACAUCUCAAAACCUGAUCUCUUCCUGAACUGGCUUUAGGAGAACGAUGAUGCAUAUCAAUUUCAUCCCUGAUCUCUAUGACACCUGUGGUGGAAGUGGAGGGCAAAUCGUAAUCAGUUUGGGUUCCAGCCCCGAGGACCUUUGUAAACUUUGCUUUUUGGUGAUGACUUAAUUUCCGAGCUUGAAAAGGACGCUUGUGUGUUUAUCAUGGCCUCUCAUAUUGGAAGAUAACAUUAAUGGCUUGUGUGUUGAUCGACGGUUGUGCAUAUCUCUUGGUCAGGAAAGUUGUAGGCACCAUCGCCAUUGUAAAUCAUUUGACAGGCCCGAGUGAACGGGGCGACCUAUGAUUGGUCAGCAAUGUAUCAGAUUCCAUACCGGGGGGUGGGGAUGAAAAAACUGUUGUAGUGUUACAUAAUCAGAUUAUUUCAACUUACUUAUCCUGUGGAAAUACAGCUAUAUAGGAGAUAUUUUGAAAUUCAUAGGCACUGCAUGUUUCAACAUUUUAGAUUUGACCACAAUUUGGCACUUGAAACUAUGUUAACAGAGAAAAACUGUGUGGUUUUCGAUGAAAGUGUUAAAAGUCUAAUAUUGCAUCAUGAUUACUGUUUUAAAGUAUUUUCGUGUUUGAUUUAUAUUGAAUUCAUCUCAUCUUUUUGAAGAAUGCAUUUAUGUUCAAAAAUAAAAAUGUUCUGUGGAAUUCAAAAUUGAUGUGCUUUUAAAUUAUCAGAUUCCAAACUGGGGGUGGGGAUGAAAAAGCUGUUGUAGUGUUACAUAAUCAGAUUAUUUUAACUUACUUAUCCUAUGGAAAUACAGCUAUAUAGGAGAUAUUUUAAAAUUGAUAGGCACUGCAUGUUUCAACAUUUUAGAUUUGACCACAAUUUGGCACUUGAAACUACGUUAACAGAGAAAAACUGUGUGGUUUUCGAUGAAAGUGUUAAAAAGUCUAAUAUUGCAUCAUGAUUACUGUUUUAAAGUAUUUUCGUGUUAGAUUUAUAUUGAAUUUAUCUCAUCUUUUUAC